rnacentral:sRNA from 1 species
GAUACGCGGCAUAAAUCCGCAAUUCGGCCC